CAGAGACAGGAUUCCAGUCAGGAACCAGAACUGAAGAGCAACACUCAACCCAUGUCCCCCUAGCCGGCUUCGGCCAGCUGUAGGUGUGGUGAACCUCAACAAGAGGCCCAGGGCUGUAAGGGGAAAAAACGUGUGCCCUAUUUGAGAUUUAAAUUUGCAGAGACUACAAUUGCAUUUGUAAAGACCCUGGGGAUAUUUUACAGACCCCUCAUUUCCUGGACAGUGCCCAGAAUGUCAAUUUCAGGGCAGGAGAGUGCACUGUGUAUUCCACUUUUUGUAUUCCUUUAUUUAUGCAAGUUGUCUCAUUGAGAUAAAAUCUCUUGUUACUGCACUUUAAAACAUUUUAAGAGUU